rnacentral:rRNA from 1 species
UACAGAGGUCCCAAGCGUUGUUCGGAUUUACUGGGCGUAAAGGGUGCGUAGGUGGCGGGGUAAGUCAGAUGUGAAAUCCCGGGGCUCAACCCCGGAACUGCAUUUGAAACUGCCUUGCUCGAGUACUGGAGAGGAGACUGGAAUUUACGGUGUAGCAGUGAAAUGCGUAGAUAUCGUAAGGAAGACCAGUGGCGAAGGCGAGUCUCUGGACAGUUACUGACACUGAGGCACGAAGGCCAGGGGAGCAAACGGG